rnacentral:rRNA from 1 species
UACGGAGGGUGCGAGCGUUAUCCGGAUUCACUGGGUUUAAAGGGUGCGUAGGUGGGAAUGUAAGUCAGUGGUGAAAUCUCUGAGCUUAACUCAGAGACUGCCAUUGAUACUAUGUUUCUUGAAUUUUCUGGAGGUCAGCGGAAUAUGUCAUGUAGCGGUGAAAUGCUUAGAUAUGACAUAGAACACCAAUUGCGAAGGCAGCUGGCUACAGGGAUAUUGACACUGAGGCACGAAAAGCGUGGGGAUCAAACAGG